rnacentral:rRNA from 1 species
GUCGAGAAUCUUUCACAAUGGGGGCAACCCUGAUGGAGCGACGCCGCGUGGAGGAUAAGGUCUUCGGAUUGUAAACUCCUGUCAUGCGUGAACAAGGUUGCUUGGUUAAUACCUGGGCAAAUUGAUGGUAACGCAAGAGGAAGAGACGGCUAACUCUGUGCCAGCAGCCGCGGUAAUACAGAGGUCUCAAGCGUUGUUCGGAAUCACUGGGCGUAAAGGGUGCGUAGGUGGCGUGGUAAGUCAGAUGUGAAAGCCCGGGGCUCAACCGCGGAACUGCAUCCGAUACUGCCAUGCUAGAGUACUGGAGAGGUGACUAGAAUUCUCGGUGUAGCAGUGAAAUGCGUAGAUAUCGAGAGGAAUACCAAAGGCGUAGGCAGGUCACUGGACAGUUACUGACACUGAGGCACGAAGGCCAGGGGAGCGAACGGGAUUAGAAACCCCGGUAGUCC